ensembl:snRNA U6 U6 spliceosomal RNA
GUACUUACUCCAGCAGCACAUAUACUAAAAAACUGGAAUGAUACAGAGAAGACUGGCAAUGGGCCCCGCACAAGGAUAACAUAUUAUUUUUUUAAAGUGAUGUAGAAUUGU